GGAGGAAACUACCGAAUGAGGUUAAAUAUACUUGGUUUCCUUACAAGACUCUUCAAAGAAGAAGCUUCACUUAAAUCAAAUCUGUAACAGGAACAAAGCCAGUUUCUGCUCCUACCGUGGUGACCACAGGUAACGGGGAAUCAGGGUUGGAUUACAGAGAGGGAAUCUGAGAAAUGGCUACCACAUGCAAGGAAGGCAGCAGGCACGCAAAUGACCCACUCCCGAUGCGGGAAGGUAGCGACGUCAAAUAACAAUACAGGACUCAUUAGAGGCCCUGUAAUUGUAAUGAGUCCACUUGAAAUCCUUUAACUCUGAUCAAUUGGAGGGCAAGUCUGGUGCAAAACGACUGACCCGUGCGUGCUGCAGCUAAAACUCCACUAUCGCCUGUUGCUGCUCGCACAGUCUCUCC